GCAUUGGUGGUUCCGUGGUAGAAUUCUCACCUUCCACAUGGGAGACACUGGUUCAAUUCCUGGCCAGUGCA
rnacentral:tRNA from 1 species